rnacentral:sRNA from 1 species
GCUAGGUGUGGUGGCACAUGCCUGUAAUCUCAGCCACUUGGGAGGCUGAGGCAGGAGAAUUGCAAGUUCAAAGCCAGCCUCAGCAACUUAGUAAGUGAGGCCCUAAGCAACUUAGCAAGACCCUGUCUCUA